GACGAACGCUGGCGGCGUGCUUAACACAUGCAAGUCGAACGGCAAGGCCCUGCUUUUGUGGGGUGCUCGAGUGGCGAACGGGUGAGUAACACGUGAGUAACCUGCCCUUGACUUUGGGAUAACUUCAGGAAACUGGGGCUAAUACCGGAUAGGAGCUCCUGCUGCAUGGUGGGGGUUGGAAAGUUUCGGCGGUUGGGGAUGGAUGCGCGGCUUAUCAGCUUGUUGGUGGGGGAGUGGCUUACCAAGGCUUUGACGGGUAGCCGGCAUGAGCGGGUGACCGGCCACAAUGGGACUGAGAGACGGCCCAGUCUCCAACGGGAGGCAGCGGGGGGAAAUAUUGCACAAUGGGGGGAAGCCUGAGGCAGCAACGCCGCGUGCGGGAUGACGGCCUUCGGGUUAUAAACCGCUUUCGCCUGUGACGAAGCGUGAGUGACGGUAAUGGGUAAAGAAGCACCGGCUAACUACGUG
rnacentral:rRNA from 1 species